AUUGAACGCUGGCGGCAGGCCUAACACAUGCAAGUCGAGCGGAUGAAGGGAGCUUGCUCCUGGAUUCAGCGGCGGACGGGUGAGUAAUGCCUAGGAAUCUGCCUGGUAGUGGGGGAUAACGUCCGGAAACGGGCGCUAAUACCGCAUACGUCCUGAGGGAGAAAGUGGGGGAUCUUCGGACCUCACGCUAUCAGAUGAGCCUAGGUCGGAUUAGCUAGUUGGUGGGGUAAAGGCCUACCAAGGCGACGAUCCGUAACUGGUCUGAGAGGAUGAUCAGUCACAAUGGAACUGAGACACGGUCCAGACUCCUACGGGAGGCAGCAGUGGGGAAUAUUGGACAAUGGGCGAAAGCCUGAUCGAGCCAUGCCGCGUGUGAAGAAGGUCUUCGGAUUGUAAAGCACUUUAAGUUGGGAGGAAGGGCAGUAAGUUAAUACCUUGCUGUUUUGACGUUACCAACAGAAUAAGCACCGGCUAACUUCGUG
rnacentral:rRNA from 1 species